rnacentral:tRNA from 1 species
AAAUCGGUGGUUCAGUGGUAAAAAAAAAAGUGGUAAAGUGGUUUCGCCUGCCACGUGGGCGGCCCGGGUUCGAUUCCCGGCCGAUGCA